AUUGAACGCUGGCGGCAGGCCUAACACAUGCAAGUCGAACGAGUGGCGGACGGGUGAGUAAUGUCUGGGAAACUGCCCGAUGGAGGGGGAUAACUACUGGAAACGGUAGCUAAUACCGCAUACCAUCGGAUGUGCCCAGAUGGGAUUAGCUAGUAGGUGGGGUAACGGCUCACCUAGGCGACGAUCCCUAGCUGGUCUGAGAGGAUGACCAGCCACACUGGAACUGAGACACGGUCCAGACUCCUACGGGAGGCAGCAGUGGGGAAUAUUGCACAAUGGGCGCAAGCCUGAAGCAGCCAUGCCGCGUGUAUGAAGAAGGCCUGCGGAUUGUAAAAUACUUGCAGCGAGGAGGCGUUACUCGCAGAAGAAGCACCUGCUAACGCCGUACCAGCAGCCGCGGUAAUUC
rnacentral:rRNA from 1 species